rnacentral:lncRNA from 1 species
ACAUAUCGAUCAAACAAGCCCAUUUCUUUCUUCACGCUCUGCCUCUCUUCACUAAGAACCUACCGAAUGUGAUUAUGAUGAUCACACCAACGGCACCGAAGAGAAGAGGUAGUAGGAUGUUGAUGGAAGAUUGAUGUGAACGAUGGAAAAAACAUAAUAAUAUGGCGUAAACGAUGCAAAUACCACCCAAAACAAACCCCAAUAUUAUAGGUAAUAUUGGGGCCUUCACUGACUCUCCACCACCACUUGCGUUCUCAAUUUCCAUCCUAUAUGUUGACAGUUUGUCUUUGUCUUUGGCUG